UCUGCUCCCCAUGCUUUAAACCCGCGGCGUCGCCGAGGCGGGGCGACAAAGGCGGUUGCUUACCGGAGAAGCAACGUCGGAUCGGCAAUCGUCGCGCCGCACCGCCCACAAGUAGGCGAACUGAUGGGUUACACGGUAAUGGACUGCACGACGCAUGGAGUUGAUUCCCGGGAGCAUCUGGCCACCCCAUCUCAAAUGGCUGCAAAGAGGGGCAGCAAUGUUUCAGUUGUUGAUGCAGAGAUAAUACUCCUAAUGCCAAUGUCGCAUGCUUCCAUAAGACAUGUUGGUCGUGGGUGUUUGUGCUUACAAUUCUUCUAUCAUCAUCUGGAGCUUAUUCAGCCACUGAUACACAAAGAUUAGAAGAGGGCACAUGUCGUUACGACUUGACAAGCAUUGCCGUCUUAUCAUGUAUGCAACCAGCCGGUGUAUGGAAGCCAUCCUCACAAACAUGCUGCAAUGCCUUAUUAUAUGCAAUUGAUCAAGUUCCAGCAAGUGAUGAGAGUGGGGCUUGUUGCCUUUGUCGUUACAUGAAAGAAAGAUGGGGACCUCCUGAACUAGCUACCACAUAUAUUUUGUGCAAUGGAAAGGAUAGACAUAUCAUCUCCAGAUGGCCAAAAUUUCAUAUAGAAGAAUGCUUAGCAGCGUGUACAAAGACAAAAAUUUCCUUAGACAUGGGUAGCUCAGCGGACAGUGAAGUGGUUCAGGUACACGACACUGACAAGGGCAUCUGGAUAGGUGUUGCAUUAUUUAGUGUGAUGGUCCUUGUUUACUUCUGGUAUUCCUGGAGGUUGGCAGCAGCUAAUGCAAGUGAGCAGCCCCCAACACCAUCUUACCAAGGUGAGCCUCGAGCUAGGCGCCGGCGAUCUGCCGUCCCUUCAUCGCCACCAUCGAAAAAGGUCAAAGAGAGAAGGUUUUCAUCAUCUUGAAGAUAUGAUGCUCCGUGUAUCCAUAGAACUGCAAGGGCAUGUGUUGGAUAGGUGUAUGUUAUGCUCACGCUUACCUUAAUUGCACGUGUACAAACAUUGUCUGGCCGCGGUACUGAUAUUAGAUGACGUACAGUUGCAGGAACGUUUUUGACAAGCCCUCAAUUGAAGAUGAGCAUUAGAUCUUGUUUUGUCGGAGAUCGCAUACGGCCGUAGGCCGGUUUCUCGGCUUCUUGCCAUGGUAAGGGAAGCUAAGAAAGCGGUGGAUUUGAAGUUAGCACUAGAAUCAGGAGAUAUAUGUAGUCUGGUUCAGUAUGAUAUUGGGUUCACCCGAUAAAAAACGGCAAGCUUAAUACCUGCUCGCGGCCGUACUUGUUAUAGGAUUGGAGUAGCUACCCGACCUGCUCGGCCAUACUGGUUAUAGGAUUGGAGUAGCUACAUCUGGUAGUAGAAAUGAUUUCCCA